rnacentral:lncRNA from 1 species
CAUUCUCUGACCAUUCUGGGGAAGAAGCUGUGCCGACUCUUCUUUGUCAUUGAUUUUUCAAAGGGCACCCAUCCGGGAUUUGUGGAUGGUGACCAGUGAAGACUCUGGCUCAACAGAGAGAAUCUGGAGGCUUCAGUCCCCCGCCAUUCCCCAGAGAACCACAGAUCACUGCAGCCUCUGUACGACUGUCACAGCCCGUGACUGAGGUGCAAAUUUGGCCAGGCCAGAGAGGUAAUUUUAGGGGUAUAGAGCCAACGGAACAGAUGAAGAGAGACCAGCACUCGCAUGUUCGUGGCAGCGCUCGUCAUGAUGGCCAAGAUGUGGGAACAACCUUAAUGUCCUUCGGUAGGUGGCUAGGCAACGAAAACGUGGCACAUACAUGAAAUAGAAUGUUAUUCCGCCUCUGAAAGGAUCGCCCUUCUGACACCUGCUACAACGUGGGUGAACCUCGUGGUUGUGAGGCUGAAACGAAAUAAGCUGGAAUAAAAAAGACGAAUAAGGUACGAUACCCCUUAUAUGAAGUAUCCC